GAUGAACGCUGGCGGCGUGCCUAAUACAUGCAAGUCGAGCGAACAGACGAGGAGCUUGCUCCUCUGACGUUAGCGGCGGACGGGUGAGUAACACGUGGAUAACCUACCUAUAAGACUGGGAUAACUUCGGGAAACCGGAGCUAAUACCGGAUAAUAUAUUGAACCGCAUGGUUCAAUAGUGAAAGACGGUUUUGCUGUCACUUAUAGAUGGAUCCGCGCCGCAUUAGCUAGUUGGUAAGGUAACGGCUUACCAAGGCAACGAUGCGUAGCCGACCUGAGAGGGUGAUCGGCCACACUGGAACUGAGACACGGUCCAGACUCCUACGGGAGGCAGCAGUAGGGAAUCUUACGCAAAGGGCGAAAGCCUGACGGAGCAAAGCCGCGUGAGUGAUGAAGGUCUUCGGAUCGUAAAACUCUGUUAUUAGGGAAGAACAAAUGUGUAAGUAACUAUGCACGUCUUGACGGUACCUAAUCAGAAAGCCACGGCUAACUACGUG
rnacentral:rRNA from 1 species